GUGAGUCAUCGAAUCUUUGAACGCACAUUGCGCCCGCCAGUAUUCUGGCGGGCAUGCCUGUUCGAGCGUCAUUUCAACCCUCAAGACCCCUGUGGACUUGGUGUUGGGGACCGGCGGCGCCUCUCUGGUGUCACCGCCCCCUAAAUGAAUUGGCGGCCUCGUCGCGGCCCUCCUCUGCGUAGUAGCACACACCUCGCAACAGGAGCCCGACGGCGGCCACUGCCGUAAAACGCCCAAACUUUUUUAGAGUCGACCUCGAAUCAGGUAGGAAUACCCGCUGAACUUAAGCAUAUCAAUAAGCGGAGGA
rnacentral:misc_RNA from 1 species